rnacentral:rRNA from 1 species
UACUACCUACGGGGGGCAGCAGUGGGGAAUAUUGCACAAUGGGCGAAAGCCUGAUACAGCAACGCCGCGUGAAGGAAGAAGGGUUUCGGCUCGUAAACUCCUAUUAACAGGGACGAAAGAAAUGACGGUACCUGAAUAAGAAGCCCCGGCUAACUACGUGCCAGCAGCCGCGGUAAUACGUAGGGGGCAAGCGUUAUCCGGAAUUACAGGGUGUAAAGGGUGAGUAGGCGGCAUGGUAAGCCAGAUGUGAAAGCCUUGGGCUUAACCCGAGGAGUGCAUUUGGAACUAUCAAGCUAGAGUACAGG